AUGUGUGUUCCAAAAGAAGAAGGCGGAAUGGGGUUCCGUAACAUUCAUUGCUUCAAUCUAGCUCUGUUGGCAAAGCAAGCAUGGCGUUUGUUGGAUGACCAUGAUUCACUAUGUGCAACAAUACUUGGAGCCAAGUGUUAUCCUAACGGUGAUUUGCUGAAUGCAUCUUUGAAGAAGAAAUCCUUGUACACUUGGCAAAGUAUUAUGGAGGGGGUCAAGACUCUAAAGCUCGGGUACAUAUGGCGAACUGGAGAUGGACACAAAGUAAACAUUUAGUCGGAUGCUUGGAUUUCUCAAUCACCCUCUAGACUACCAAUCACCCCAAGAGGCAACAACCUGCUGUCCAAGGUUUCAGAAUUGAUUGAUACUAUGACAGGCCAAUGGGACAUGAUGGUGGUGCAGCAAACUUUUUGGCCGGCUGACGCUCAUCGGAUACUAAAUAUCCCACUACCAUCUUCUAACAUGUCUGAUUUUGUCGCUUGGCACCAUUCGAAACAAGACAUCUUUACUGUCAAGUCAGCCUAUCCGGAGGUGUGGCGGAGCCACUAUGAUUUGUAA
rnacentral:rRNA from 1 species